rnacentral:lncRNA from 1 species
GCACAUGCGUAGAGCAUUAAAUAUAGAUAAAAAAACUAAUUGCACAGUUUAACUGUAAAUCGCAGGAUAAAUCUUUUGAGCCUAGUUACUCCAUGAUUGAACGAUGUUUGUCAAAUAAAAACGAAAGUGCUACGGUAACCCAACCCAAAAAGAUUUGGGAACUAAACAAGAUCUAAACAAGGCCUGAGUUCGUUGUGAGUGAACGAAUGCUAGAUUAUAAUUGGGGAAGCCGAGACCUCGCGUGUUUGUCCCCAUUCUCAUGACAUCCCUCCCGGUACAAGCUAAUCGAAUUUGCCGCUGAGAUGAGAUGAGGAUACAUCAAGUGGGCUAGAUGGGAAUCGAUCAGACCGCGCAUACAACUCCACCCGC